rnacentral:misc_RNA from 1 species
GUCGUAACUAUAAAUAACCAAGAAGACCCAGUGGCUAAGUGACCAUCCAAUGAGAGGCAAGGAAUGUAGAAUUAUGUUUCUAUGUCAACAUUCAUCUGUGUUUUCUUUACCUGGUGAGCCAAUGAAGAUUAAGUCAACUUGGGUACACAGGAGAAGGGAAAAAAAAACCUUAAGUGUGUUUUUACACCUUUAACAGCUUUUUUUUUAAUAAGCUGAUAAGGCUUAAUGUCCAGGAAGGAAAAAGUGAUUGGAUGUAUACCUGCUGUAAGACCAGAUCAAAUAGAACUGGAUACUUUUGGUAUUUUGUCUACGUGGACAUUUAAAAUUUGUUGAUAGAUGAUAUGCAUGUACUAUAAUUACCUUUGAAAUCAAGCUGUGUUUUUAAAAUGUUUUUUGCUUAAAACAGGUACAAAAGUGGACAACUGUUUGAAGGAAAUUGCUUCUUUUGUUGAUUGUUUCAGACCUUUCUAUCUCAAACUACUUCAAACUUAAAACAUUCGCAUCUAUGUCGCUUUUUCAUUUUAUUUUGUUUAUUUCAAAAUUUGAAAUGAAAUUAGAACAUCGCAUUUAUAUUGCAACUUCCUAUUUUUUCAGGAUUUAUUAGUGUUUUACUUUAAAACAUUGAUAUUUAUAAUGAAAAUCAUUAAAAUAAAAUAAUUUUUACAUUGUU